rnacentral:rRNA from 1 species
AUUGAACGCUGGCGGCAUGCUUUACACAUGCAAGUCGAACGGUAACAGGUUAAGCUGACGAGUGGCGAACGGGUGAGUAAUGCAUCGGAACGUGCCCGGUCGUGGGGGAUAACGCAGCGAAAGCUGCGCUAAUCCCGCAUACGAUCUAAGGAUGAAAGCGGGGGACCGUAAGGCCUCGCGCGAUCGGAGCGGCCGAUGUCAGAGUAGGUAGUUGGUGGGGUAAAGGCUCACCAAGCCAACGAGCUGUAGCUGGUCUGAGAGGACGACCAGCCACACUGGGACUGAGACACGGCCCAGACUCCUACGGGAGGCAGCAGUGGGGAAUUUUGGACAAUGGGCGAAAGCCUGAUCCAGCAAUGCCGCGUGCAGGAAGAAGGCCUUCGGGUUGUAAACUGCUUUUGUACGGAGCGAAAAGGUCUCCUCAAUACAGGGGGCUCAUGACGGUACCGUAAGAAUAAGCACCGGCUAACUACGUGCCAGCCGCCGCAGUAA